AUCCGCUGUGCGCGUAGGAGUCUUGAGAAGGGCUGUCCCUAGUACGAGAGGACCGGGACGGACGAACCUCUGGUGUGCCAGUUGUCCUGCCAAGGGCAUGGCUGGUUGGCUACGUUCGGGAGGGAUAACCGCUGAAAGCAUCUAAGCGGGAAGCCUGCUUCGAGAUGAGGACUCCCACCCACUUGAUGGGGUAAGGCUCCCAGUAGACGACUGGGUUGAUAGGCCGGAUCUGGAAGCACGGUAACGUGUGGAGGUGACCGGUACUAAUAGGCCGAGGGCUUGUCCUCAGUUG
rnacentral:rRNA from 1 species